GGAUGGGCAUGCGGCGCAUUAGCUAGUUGGCGGGGUAACGGCCCACCAAGGCGACGAUGCGUAGGGGUUCUGAGAGGAAGGUCCCCCACACUGGUACUGAGACACGGACCAGACUCCUACGGGAGGCAGCAGUGAGGAAUAUUGGUCAAUGGGCGGGAGCCUGAACCAGCCAAGUCGCGUGAGGGAAGACGGUCCUAUGGAUUGUAAACCUCUUUAGGCGGGGAGCAAUGCCGGGCACGCGUGCCCGGAGGGAGAGUACCCGCAGAAUAAGCAUCGGCUAACUCCGUGCCAGCAGCCGCGGUAAUACGGAGGAUGCGAGCGUUAUCCGGAUUUAUUGGGUUUAAAGGGUGCGUAGGCGGAUUUUUAAGUCAGCGGUAAAAUGUCCGGGCUCAACCCGGGCCGGCCGUUGAAACUGGGGAUCUUGAGUGGGCGAGAAGUAUGCGGAAUGCGUGGUGUAGCGGUGAAAUGCAUAGAUAUCACGCAGAACUCCGAUUGCGAAGGCAGCAUACCGGCGCCCGACUGACGCUGAGGCACGAAAGCGUGGGGAUCGAACAGGAUUAGAUACCCUGGUAGUCCACGCAGUAAACGAUGAAUGCUAGUUGUCCGG
rnacentral:rRNA from 1 species